rnacentral:rRNA from 1 species
GAUGAACGCUGGCGGCGUGCCUAACACAUGCAAGUCGAGCGGCAGCGAGGGGUGCUUGCACCCUGUCGGCGAGCGGCGGACGGCUGAGUAACGCGUGGGAACGUGCCCCAAAGUGAGGAAUAACUGCCCGAAAGGGUAGCUAAUACCGCAUAUUAUCUUCGGAUCAAAGGAUUUAUCCGCUUUGGGAGCGGCUCGCGUCGGAUUAGGUAGUUGGUGAGGUAAUGGCUCACCAAGCCGACGAUCCGUAGCUGGUCUGAGAGGAUGACCAGCCAGACUGGAACUGAGACACGGUCCAGACUCCUACGGGAGGCAGCAGUGAGGAAUCUUCCACAAUGGGCGAAAGCCUGAUGGAGCAACGCCGCAUGCAGGACGAAGGCCUUCGGGUUGUAAACUGCUUUUAUAAGUGAGGAAUAUGACGGUAACUUAUGAAUAAGGAUCGGCUAACUACGUG